rnacentral:rRNA from 1 species
UACGUAGGGGGCUAGCGUUGUCCGGAUUUAUUGGGCGUAAAGAGCUCGUAGGUGGUUCGGUAAGUCGGAUGUGAAAUCUCCAGGCUCAACCUGGAGGGGUCGGUGGAAACCAUCCAGCUAGAGUCCGGAAGAGGAGAAUGGAAUUCCUGGUGUAGCGGUGAAAUGCGCAGAUAUCAGGAAGAACACCCGUGGCGAAGGCGGUUCUCUGGGACGGUACUGACGCUGAGACGCGAAAGCGUGGGGAGCGAACAGG